CAGAGAUAAUUCCUGAGGCAUGUUUAAAGAGUUUUGUAUUUCCUCAAGUAAGUGCUGAUUCACAAAGAUUUUAUAUUUAAGAAAAUCUGAUCAUCAUUCAAAAUAACUGUUAACAUGUUUGUCAACUAAACAUGUUUUGUCAACGUUAUAAACUUUAUAGAAAUAUUUUUUAUUUUUUAUUAAUGACCAAGUAUAAAGAACAAUGCAUAGUGUGAAAACGCGGAUUAUAUAAAAGUAUAUAAUAAAGUGCGAACAGGGGAUCAAUCAAACUUGGGCUGGAAUGAUUGUAGUGCAUCCAAUGGAUCUUGGAACUCGUAGUUUACAUCUACAGCAGCAUAUGCUACAGCAGUGACAACGCCAAAGAAAAGGACUACAUUUCCCAGAAUGCACCUGCACCCACUCAUCUCCCCUCAUCCUUCAGGUGCGACCGCUCGACCUAUGGGCUUGACGGGGAAAUUCAAAAUCGCGAACCGUUACAGCCUGGACGGUGUCUUUGUUUGUUUGCAUAUCAACAGUUAAGAGGUCAUGUACACUGUGGUCAACUUUGUGGACGCUGAAGAGGUUUCUGGGUAAAGAUGAUAGAAAUAUAAUGAAGUAACAGUGGAAGCUAAAACAUCAGACUGAUCCAGACACUGAAGAAAUUGAUGUCACUGCAAUCUGGCCAAAAUGAUACAACUAUAUUGAAGUAGCCUACUGUAAUGAAGCUGCAGAACUUCACAGAGACUCUGAGGACAUCAACACAGAAAAUCUAGGCUCCAAAGAGAUGUCUGUCCAGAUGAGGGUGCAUCAACGUUACCUUUGCUGACAAGUAUAUGCUUUUAGCAGUUAACUUAACUCAAACCAUUUAAGGAAAUCGGUUGCCUUAAACCAUUAAGUUUUAAAAAACAUACAUUUGAGUACUGUGAACCUAAGUCUUGUGCAAUUAUGCACUUAUAUUUAGGUAGUGCUUAACUGCAUGUGACUCAUUUGUUUAAGUUCACAGUACUCAAAUCUAUGUGUUUUAAAACUUGAAGGGUUUAAUGCAACCGGUUUUCUUAAAUGUGAGAAAUUACAGUGAGAAAUGUUUGAAUAAUUCCAAGACAGAGCUCUGUGAUUGAUUCUACACUGCAAAAAAUCACUUUCUAACACUUUUUAUCUUGUUUUCAGUAGAAAAACUAAAAAUUCUUAAAUCAUGAUGUAUUUUCUUGAUGAGCGAAAUUACCUUAGAAAAUAUGUCUAGUUUUUAGACAAAAAUAUACAAUUUAAGAUAAUCUGUGCCUAAAAAAGAAAAAAUAUCUAACAAUGGGGUGAGAAAAUUGUGUUUUAAUUAAGUUUUUAAGAUAAAAGAAAACUUAAGAUUUUUUUCUCACACUAUUGGCAGAUAUUUUUGCUUGGUUUAAGCACAAAUUCACUUAAUGUGUGUGUAUUUUAUUUAUUUAUUUUAAUUUAAAUAAUAUUUCUACUGAAAACAAGACAAAAAUACUAUGUAAGAAAGUCAUUUUUUGCAGUGUAGGACUGAUUUCUUAAGAGCAAGAUCAAUAUAGUUGUUGUUCAUUUUAUUUAGAUAUUUACUACAUUACAGUGGCAGAUGGUGACUACUUUUUUUGUGAGCUCUCGAUGCGAAGUUUGUCACAACAUGUAAAUAGCCCGUCAUUUGUGUGGUUCCCAAUUUCAAAAUAUGUGUAUGUGCAUCACGUGUUUUGACUAAACACGUGAUGCACGUGGUUUACAUGAAGCAACAAACACAUAUUUUAAAAACACAAGCAACACACAUGACACUCCGAACACUUAUUUUGAAUUUGCAACCCUCGGAUGAGCAGUCACGAGCCGCCACUGCUACACUGCAUUGUACUGCUUUGAAUGCAGUUUUCAUUGUUGCUU